UACGUAGGGGGCUAGCGUUGUCCGGAAUCAUUGGGCGUAAAGAGCGCGUAGGCGGCCCGGUAAGUCCGCUGUGAAAGUCGGGGGCUCAACCCUCGAAUGCCGGUGGAUACUGUCGGGCUAGAGUGCGGAAGAGGCGAGUGGAAUUCCUGGUGUAGCGGUGAAAUGCGCAGAUAUCAGGAGGAACACCAAUUGCGAAGACAGCUCGCUGGGACGUAACUGACGCUGAGACGCGAAAGCGUGGGGAGCAAACAGG
rnacentral:rRNA from 1 species